rnacentral:rRNA from 1 species
UCCACGCCGUAAACGAUGUCAACUAGCCGUUGGGCCUAUUUAUAGGCUUAGUGGCGGAGCUAACGUAUUAAGUUGACCGCCUGGGGAGUACGGCCGCAAGGUUAAAACUCAAAUGAAUUGACGGGGGCCCGCACAAGCGGUGGAGCAUGUGGUUUAAUUCGAUGCAACCCCUAUCCUUAGUUGCUAACAUUAAGUUGAGAACUCUAGAGAGACUGCCGGUGAUAAACCGGAGG